GAUGAACGCUGGCGGCGUGCCUAAUACAUGCAAGUCGAGCGAACGGACGAGAAGCUUGCUUUUCUGAUGUUAGCGGCGGACGGGUGAGUAACACGUGGAUAACCUACCUAUAAGACUGGGAUAACUUCGGGAAACCGGAGCUAAUACCGGAUAAUAUUUUGAACCGCAUGGUUCAAAAGUGAAAGACGGUCUUGCUGUCACUUAUAGAUGGAUCCGCGCUGCAUUAGCUAGUUGGUAAGGUAACGGCUUACCAAGGCAACGAUGCAUAGCCGACCUGAGAGGGUGAUCGGCCACACUGGAAGUGAGACACGGUCCAGACUCCUACGGGAGGCAGCAGUAGGGAAUCUUCCGCAAUGGGCGAAAGCCUGACGGAGCAACGCCGCGUGAGUGAUGAAGGUCUUCGGAUCGUAAAACUCUGUUAUUAGGGAAGAACAUAUGUGUAAGUAACUGUGCACAUCUUGACGGUACCUAAUCAGAAAACCACGGCUAACUACGU
rnacentral:rRNA from 1 species